UAGAGUUUUCUAAACUCCCAACCCUUUGUGAACUUACCUUUGUUGCCUCGGCGGGGCCUACCCGGUACCGACCCCUUUUGGGCGAAGUUACCCUGUAGCCCGCCGGUGGAUUUUCAAACUCUUGUUAUUUUAAUGUUAUCUGAGCGUCUUAUUUUAAUAAGUCA
rnacentral:misc_RNA from 1 species